UUCUUGGUGGUCUAGUGGUUAGGAUUCAGCACUUUCACCACUGUGGCCCAGGUUCAAUCCCUGGUCUGGGAA
rnacentral:tRNA from 1 species